GCCCGUGUAGCUCAACGGAAGAGCGGCUGCCCUACAAGCAGCGGGCUGGGGGUUCGAGUCCCUCCGCGGGUAC
rnacentral:tRNA from 1 species